rnacentral:rRNA from 1 species
AAUGGGGGAAACCCUGACGCAGCAACGCCGCGUGAAGGAUGAAGGUCUUCGGAUUGUAAACUUCUUUUAUUAAGGACGAAGAAAGUGACGGUACUUAAUGAAUAAGCUCCGGCUAACUACGUGCCAGCAGCCGCGGUAAUACGUAGGGAGCAAGCGUUGUCCGGAUUUACUGGGUGUAAAGGGUGCGUAGGCGGCUUUGCAAGUCAGAUGUGAAAUCUAUGGGCUCAACCCAUAGCCUGCAUUUGAAACUGCAGAGCUUGAGUGAAGUAGAGGCAGGCGGAAUUCCCCGUGUAGCGGUGAAAUGCGUAGAGAUGGGGAGGAACACCAGUGGCGAAGGCGGCCUGCUGGGCUUUAACUGACGCUGAGGCACGAAAGCGUGGGUAGCAAA